rnacentral:rRNA from 1 species
UAGAGUACUCAUAUCAAUACUAAAUUCCUUCUUUUCCGGGAUCCCAUUCGAUUAGAACUCCUAGGUUAAGCGUGCUCGGCUUGGAGUAGUUAUAGGAUGGGUGACCGAACGGGAAGUUCAUCCCGUGUGCGCA